rnacentral:lncRNA from 1 species
CAUGAAUGUCCAACCGCUACCUUGAGUAAUCUGAAGGUGCAAGAAAUCAAUCAGUCUGAGGUGCACCCAAACCUAAAGUAGCACCAAAAGGGUGAAGUAGGAGUGAGUACUGUCCACUUGUACUCAGUAGGUAUCAAAGGCCGACCGAGCAAAGUAGAAAAUAAAGCAUACAAAAUACACACUAAUGGCACGUCACCUGCAGUUAGAAAAUGUCCCA